rnacentral:rRNA from 1 species
UACGGAGGGGGCUAGCGUUGUUCGGAAUUACUGGGCGUAAAGCGCGCGUAGGCGGCUUUGUAAGUCAGGGGUGAAAUCCGGCAGCUCAACUGUCGCAGUGCCUUUGAUACUGGAGAGCUCGAGGGAGGUAGGGGUCUGUGGAACUUCCGGUGGAGCGGUGAAAUGCGUUGAUAUCGGAAGGAACGCCGGUGGCGAAAGCGACGGACUGGAUCUCUUCUGACGCUGAGGCGCGAAAGCCAGGGGAGCAAACGGG